GACCUAAUAGCGCAAUAUGGCAUCGCAUCUACUCCCAAUACAGAAGCACUGUUGACCGUGUGGAAGUCCCUCGUUCAAAUCGAGGUUAGGUCC